CCUAUGGGAGGCAGCAGUGAGGAAUCUUGGUCAAUGGCCGUAAGGCUGAACCAGCGAAGUCGCGUGAAGGAAGAAGGAUCUAUGGUUUGUAAACUUCUUUUAUAGGGGAAUAAAGGUAUCCAAGUGUGGAUAUUUGCAUGUACACUAUGAAUAAGCAUCGGCUAACUCCGUGCAAGCAGCCGCGGUAAUCCGGAGGAUGCGAGCGUUAUCCGGAUUUAUUGGGUGUAAAGGGUGCGUAGGUUGUUUUUUAAGUCAGCGGUGAAAGUUUGUGGCUCAACCAUAAAAUUGCCGUUGAAACUGGGAGACUUGAGUGUGUUUGAGGGAGGCGGAAUGCGUGGUGUAGCGGUGAAAUGCAUAGAUAUCACGCAGAACUCCGAUUGCGAAGGCAGCUUACUAGGCCAUAACUGACGCUGAGGCACGAAGGCGUGGGGAUCAAACAGGAUUAGAUACCCCAGUAGUC
rnacentral:rRNA from 1 species